CUGUAAGCUGGCCAUCUGCAAAAACAACCAACCUUUUUUUUUAUUGAACACCAAAGAACAAAAAUCAACGCUUUGUUAUUAUCUUUGCAAAUAUAAUUUAUUUAUCAAAGUUUAAUGAGCAUAAUCAAACUGCAAACUUAUCGUCUUUGAGAGGCCCAUUAAUCUUCUUAUUCUUUCUUCAGCUCAAAGAAGGUCAAACUUCAAUCGCUAGUGUUGCUGAAUCCUUGCUGGCAUCAAUUUCAGAGAUAAUAGAAUCUGUAGCAGGGAUAGUAGUAGAGCAGGAAACUUUUGCUGAGAUUGGAUGCUACUUUUACCGAGCUUCUUCUUCCAUAAUGGAGUUGCAUACGACUGAGAAUACCCCAGAAAAUGCAAUGGACAUCUUACACUCCCUAUCCAGUGCCAUUAAUGUGGCCAAGGAUAUAAUAAACAAAUGCCAAAGAAGCAACAGCUCAAAGUCUGAUUCUGAACUAAAAAGCACAGUACAACAACUGGAGGAGUUGAUAAAACACAUGGGGGAAUGCUUGACCUUGAUACCUUCAUCAACAUUUCAGAACCACAAAUAUGCAGAAGUUUCACUCCGUUCUCUUUCAAAGGAAAUGCAGCAUGCACACUUUGAAGUCAGCCAAAAUCAAGAGUUGCAGACCAAAGAGCUGGAACCUCAGAAGUCUUUCUCUGAAGAGGAACAUGAUGAUUAUGAAGAACCAGUACAAACAGAAUCAGAUGUGUACUCCAUCAAUGUUGAAGUUUCCAUAGAUAAUUCUCAGGUCUUGAAUAUGCCACACUUGAUUGAAUUUCUGAAGAACAAAACCCUUAGCAGCCAAAGUAAACUUAAUAACAGAAGCAGGUCCUCAUCAACAUUGCCACAAACAGUUGAGUACAUAGAACCUCUGUACAAGACUUUCUACUGUCCAUUAACAAAGCAGAUCAUGGAUGAUCCAGUGACCAUAGAAAGUGGAGUGACCUAUGAAAGAAAUGCGAUUGUAGAGUGGUUUGAAGAGUUUGAAAACUCAGAGGAAAUUUUCUGUCCAACCACAGGGCAGAAGCUGUUGAGUACAUUUUUAAGACCCAAUAUAGCUCUUAAGACCACGAUAGAGGAGUGGAAAGCAAGAAAUGAGGAAGCAAAGAUCAAGGUUGCCUGUGCGGCUUUGUCUCUAGGUAGUUCAGCAAGUAUGGUAUUUGAAGCAAUAAGAGAUUUGCAAGGCAUCUGUGCAAGGAAGCAGUACAAUAAGGUUCAAGUCCGUAAUGCAGGAGUACUGCCAUUGCUCGUUAAGUUUCUGGAGUACAAAGACAGAGAUGUUAGAUGUGCAGUGCUGGAAUUAUUACGAGAAUUGGCAGAAGAUGAUGAUGAUGAUUAUGGAAAGGAAAUGAUUGCUCAAAUGGCUAAUAUUUCAACAGUAAUCAAGAUGUUGUCAAGUGGCCACCAGCCCAUUAGGCAUGCAGCAUUGAUGUUAUUACUUGAGUUCUCAAGGUCCCAAUUGUUGUGUCAAAAAAUUGGGUCAGUUCCUGGGGGGAUUCUGAUGCUGAUUAGGAGUAAAUACAAUCAGUCUGUUGAUGCCUUCUCUUCAGAAAAGGCAGAUGAAAUCUUAAGGAACCUAGAGAGAUCACCAGAAAAUAUCAAGCACAUGGCAGAAAAUGGACUCUUGGAACCCCUUCUCAAUCAUCUUACUGAAGGUUCUGAGGAGAUACAGAUGGAAAUGGCAGGCUACCUUGGGGAAAUUGCCCUCGGAAAUGACAGUAAGACCUAUGUUGCUGAGAGGGCUUCUCCAACUCUCAUUCAAAUGGUGCAUAGGGGAAACACUUUGAGCAGAAGUGCAGCAUUUAAAGCUCUAGCGCAAAUUUCAUCUUAUUCUCCAGGUGCCAAAAUAUUGACCAAAGCAGGAAUCAUACAGGUCAUGGCUGAAGAGAUGUUCACUCGGAGAAUUUACAAUGAACCCAUGAACUCAAAAAAUGAGGCUGCUGCAAUUCUUGCAAAUAUCUUUGAGAGUGGGAUUGAGUUUCAAAAUCUCCAAGUAAACACUCACGGACACAAACUAACUUCAGACUAUGUUUUGUACAAUAUCAUCCACAUGGUCAAGAACUCAACUCCCGAGGAACUCAAUAUCAACCUCCUGAGGAUUCUUUUAUCCCUGGUUAAGGAUCCCAAUUCUAUCAACAAUAUUGUCUCUGUGGUAAAAGAGAGUGAAGCUAGCUACACCUUGAUUGAGCUAAUCAAUAACCCUCAUGAAGAGCUUGGAGUUGCAGCAAUCAAGCUACUCAUUGAACUCUCACCUCACAUGGGGCACACUUUUGUUGAAAGGCUAUGCAAGACAAGGGGUCAGCCUGAGAGCUUAAUCCUAGGCCUUAAAACAACCCAAAUUUCAGAAAGGCAGGCAGUUUCAGCAAAGUUUCUAGCUAAACUGCCCCACCAGAACCUAACACUCAAUCUGGCUCUUCUCAGAAACAAUACAGUCCCCACAGUCGUACAGACAAUCAAUCAAAUCCAGAUGACUGGAACAAGAAAAAGCAGGUAUGCAAGUGCUUACUUAGAAGGUCUAGUGGCCAUUCUAGUCAGAUUCACAACAACACUGUAUGAGCCCGAAAUCCUAUCUCUAGCAAGAAACUACAACUUCACAUUGUUAUUUACAGAGCUGCUAAUGAAAACAUCAAGUGAUGAAAUUCAGAGAUUAUCAGCAAUUGGCUUGGAAAAUCUCUCAGAAGAAUCAAUUAGUUUAUCAAAACCACCACAAAUAAAGAAAAGCAAGUCCUUGAAGAAAGCCUUACACAAGUUCCUAUACCUUGGUUCUUCAAAGAAGAGGAAAGAACCUGUCUGUCCAGUCCACAGAGGAGCUUGUUCCUCCCAAAACACAUUCUGUUUGGUUGAUGCAAAGGCAGUGGAAAGGUUAUUGGCGUGUUUGGACAGUGAGAAUGUUGUGGUUGUUGGGGCUGCAUUGUCAGCUAUAUGCACUUUGUUAGAUGACAAAGUUGAUGUGGAAAAGAGUGUUAGCAUUUUGAGUGAAUUGAAUGCUGUAAGGCAUGUUCUGAAUGUUGUGAAAGAACACCGAGAAGAAGGUUUGUGGCAAAAAUCCUUUUGGGUUAUUGAAAGAUUCUUGAUGAAAGGUGGGGAUAAGUCUGCUUCGGACAUAUCACAGGAUAGGUUGUUGCCUGCCACUUUAAUUAGUGCUUUUCAUCACGGGAAUGGUAAUACCAGGCAGAUGGCUGAGAAGAUCUUGAGUCUUUUAAACAAGGUGCCCAGUAUUCCUACUUCCAGCUAUACCUUGUAGAAUAUAGUUAUAAUGUAUUGCUGCUGUUUUUUGAUUCUAAUCUCACUACAAUAAACAUGUUUAAACUGUAGACCAAUAUUGGUAAGUGUUAAGUAGUGAUUUCUAGAAUCAAUUUUGGGUAGCCAAAUUCUUUUCAUUUAAGAAAAGUAGGAUCCAUUAUGUCCACUCCAAGGUAAGAAAUGUUAUCAUAGCACUUUCAGACAUGCAAAAAAACGUUGUCGACAACUGCAAGAUGAUUAUAAGUAAUACAAGCAGGCUAAAUUCAAG
rnacentral:misc_RNA from 1 species